GGGAUUGCAAAUGCCGGCACGCCACCCUAAAUCUGAAUUGUUCUUCGGAACUAUGGUGAUAAACGCGCUCGUAAUAAGCGGCUCGGACCCGGGGGCGGUACCCGGCGACUCCACCAAACGCCCUUCAUUUGGGGCCAUGGGGUCGAAACAGGAUCGACGAACGUCUAAAGGGGUUUGCUUUUGCCCGGUGAGGAACCACCGUUAUCGGUCCGUUAAAGCUAGUUGCAAAUGACAACAAAGCUCCGAUGGCGCUCGCAGCGUAAGCUGUGCGCAAUAUCAAAUCUUAAGUCCUUGCCCCUAGCAGGGUAAGGCGGGGUUCGCAGGUACCUGGCAACAGAAACCUGCACU
rnacentral:tmRNA from 1 species